UUCGCAAUGCCCGAAAGGGUGACUAUGCGACGCCGCGUGUGCGAUGAAGGUCUUCGGAUUGUAAAGCACUGUCGGCCGGGAGGAAUCUCGGGGGAUCGAACAGAUCCUCCGGGUGACAGUACCGGCAGAGGAAGCCACGGCUAACUCCGUGCCAGCAGCCGCGGUAAUACAGAGGCGGCAAGCGUUGUUCGGAAUUAUUGGGCGUAAAGAGCACGUAGGCGGCUAUGUAAGUCGGUUGUGAAAGCCUUCCGCUCAACGGGAGAACAGCAUCCGAUACUGCAUGGCUUGAGUGCGGGAGGGGAGAGUGGAACUUCUGGUGGAGCGGUGAAAUGCGUAGAUAUCAGAAGGAACGCCGGCGGCGAAAGCGGCUCUCUGGCCCAUAACUGACGCUGAGUGUGCGAAAGCUAGGGGAGCAAACGGGAUUAGAUACCCCGGUAGUCCUAGCCGUAAACGAUGGGCACUAAGUAGAGGGGUUUU
rnacentral:rRNA from 1 species